GCCGAGCGACGUGGCGCAAUCGGCUAGCGCGUUCGGCUGUUAACCGAAAGGUUGGUGGUUCGAGCCCACCCGGGGGCG